AUUGAACGCUGGCGGCAGGCCUAACACAUGCAAGUCGAGCGGAUGAAGGGAGCUUGCUCCUGGAUUCAGCUGCGGACGGGUGAGUAAUGCCUAGGAAUCUGCCUGGUAGUGGGGGAUAACGUCCGGAAACGGGCGCUAAUACCGCAUACGUCCUUAGGGAGAAAGUGGGGGAUCUUCGGACCUCACGCUAUCAGAUGAGCCUAGGUCGGAUUAGCUAGUUGGUGGGGUAAAGGCCUACCAAGGCGACGAUCCGUAACUGGUCUGAGAGGAUGAUCAGUCACACUGGAACUGAGACACGGUCCAGACUCCUACGGGAGGCAGCAGUGGGGAAUAUUGGACAAUGGGCGAAAGCCUGAUCCAGCCAUGCCGCGUGUGUGAAGAAGGUCUUCGGAUUGUAAAGCACUUUAAGUUGGGAGGAAGAGCAGUAAGUUAAUACCUUGCUGUUUUGACGUUACCAACAGAAUAAGCACCGGCUAACUUCGUG
rnacentral:rRNA from 1 species